GAUCCUGGCUCAGGAUGAACGCUGGCGGCGUGCCUAACACAUGCAAGUCGAACGGAAUUUACAUGAAGCCUAGCGAUUGUAAAUUUAGUGGCGGACGGGUGAGUAACGCGUGGGUAACCUGCCUUGUACUGGGGGACAACAGUUGGAAACGACUGCUAAUACCCCAUAAGCGCACGGCUUCGCAUGAAGCAGUGUGAAAAACUCCGGUGGUACAAGAUGGACCCGCGUCUGAUUAGCUGGUUGGUGAGG
rnacentral:rRNA from 1 species